CCCUCCCUGAGGUGUUCGUUUGUCCGGCAAGUCCUCGAGCCGAUAAAUUUAUACCCGGCGGCGUCUAGCUGGUGUUGGUGUGCAUGUCCGCGCGUCGGAAAGCCUGAUUCACCACAGAUUCCGCCACCUUGAACCAUCGGGUUCAAGGCCAAGCCGGCUACGGCACACUCGGGGUCCUA
rfam:Simiduia agarivorans SA1 = DSM 21679, complete genome.